GGGGUUGUGGCUCAGUGGUAGAGUGCUCGCCUAGCAUGUGUGAAGCCCUGGGUUUGAUUCUCAGCACCA
rnacentral:tRNA from 1 species